UGUACAUGAAAUUGAACUCUUCUCAGAGUCUGUUUAGAGGGGCUUCAUCAAUGGCGAGGCAGCUGAGAGCUUCGUGUGUGAAGCCCCGUUAUCGUCACGUGUAGCGCAUGCUCAGGGCGCAUAGAGCCGCCACCAACAUGAAAGUUUGAUUGGCGCACAUUUUGGACUUUGGAUUUGUUUUCAUUUUGCAAAUUCCCGACCAGCGCUCUCGGCUUGGGGCCCCUAACAGAACAGCGCUACAGAAUACAGAACGGUCGAUAUAUAAUGAACUCAUUGUGGCUGGCGGGCUGUUGUUCGGGUUUGUGGGAGUUAAUUGAUGGUUUGGUGUUGCGGUAGGUACAGGCCAAAACGGGUAUACGUGUUGUUUAUAGCACUCGUGCGGAAUGGAACAUAUUUAAACAGACGUGCAACGCGGGAAUUGAUUUCAAUAUUUAAUUCUAGCUUAUUUAUCAAAUUGUGUUGAGAGAUCUUCUAUCAUUUUAGAAUUGUUUGCCCUCGAAAUGCUUCGAAAAUAUUUAUCAGUUAGCACCGAUUUGAUUCGCUUUUGACCCCAAUAGCAGCUGAGCGCAAUUAAUCAAAUCUCGGUAUACAUUUUGUGGCAUACAUGACUAUCAGCAAGUACACCGAGUGGCGCACGCGACUUUCUGUGGCAUGCCCAGACCGGACUGGAGAUAUAUGUAUACUCGAAACGAGAAGCCAAAAAUGUGGUACGUGAGCAGAGCAACGCACACAUCAGACAGCAGCAGCAGCAGGAAAAAGAAACCACCUCCAAUACUCGUAAUAACAACUACAACAAACUCUCCAAUUGCGUUUUGUGCUUCUUCCGCUCGAUUCAAUUCACGCGAGUCUUCCAUCAUUUUUCUGUGUGAUAGCUACGCACAGUGGAUCAAGACAUAAUACUUAUAAAAAAA